rnacentral:rRNA from 1 species
GACGAACGCUGGCGGCGUGCUUAACACAUGCAAGUCGAACGAUGAAGCCCAGCUUGCUAGGUGGAUUAGUGGCGAACGGGUGAGUAAUACGUGAGUAACCUACCUUUAACUCUGGGAUAAGCCUGGGAAACUGGGUCUAAUACCGGAUACGACCAAUCUCCGCAUGGGGUGUUGGUGGAAAGCGUUAUGUAGUGGUUAUAGAUGGGCUCACGGCCUAUCAGCUUGUUGGUGAGGUAACGGCUCACCAAGGCGACGACGGGUAGCCGGCCUGAGAGGGUGACCGGCCACACUGGGACUGAGACACGGCCCAGACUCCUACGGGAGGCAGCAGUGGGGAAUAUUGCACAAUGGGCGCAAGCCUGAUGCAGCGACGCCGCGUGAGGGAUGACGGCCUUCGGGUUGUAAACCUCUGUUAGCAGGGAAGAAGAGAGAUUGACGGUACCUGCAGAGAAAGCGCCGGCUAACUACGUGCCAGCAGCCGCGGUAAUACGUAGGGCGCGAGCGUUGUCCGGAAUUAUUGGGCGUAAAGAGCUUGUAGGCGGUUCGUCGCGUCUGCUGUGAAGGCCGGAGCUUAACUCCGUGUAUUGCAGUGGGUACGGGCAGACUAGAGUGCAGUAGGGGAGGCUGGAAUUCCUGGUGUAGCGGUGGAAUGCGCAGAUAUCAGGAGGAACACCGAUGGCGAAGGCAGGUCUCUGGGCUGUAACUGACGCUGAGAAGCGAAAGCAUGGGGAGCGAACAGGAUUAGAUACCCUGGUAGUCCAUGCCGUAAACGUUGGGCACUAGGUGUGGGGGACAUUCCACGUUUUCCGCGCCGUAGCUAACGCAUUAAGUGCCCCGCCUGGGGAGUACGGCCGCAAGGCUAAAACUCAAAGAAAUUGACGGGGGCCCGCACAAGCGGCGGAGCAUGCGGAUUAAUUCGAUGCAACGCGAAGAACCUUACCAAGGCUUGACAUAUACUGGACCGCAUCAGAGAUGGUGUUUCCCUUCGGGGCCGGUAUACAGGUGGUGCAUGGUUGUCGUCAGCUCGUGUCGUGAGAUGUUGGGUUAAGUCCCGCAACGAGCGCAACCCUCGUUCUAUGUUGCCAGCACGUUAUGGUGGGGACUCAUAGGAGACUGCCGGGGUCAACUCGGAGGAAGGUGGGGAUGACGUCAAAUCAUCAUGCCCCUUAUGUCUUGGGCUUCACGCAUGCUACAAUGGCCGGUACAGAGGGUUGCGAUACUGUGAGGUGGAGCUAAUCCCUAAAAGCCGGCCUCAGUUCGGAUUGGGGUCUGCAACUCGACCCCAUGAAGUCGGAGUCGCUAGUAAUCGCAGAUCAGCAACGCUGCGGUGAAUACGUUCCCGGGCCU